rnacentral:rRNA from 1 species
GACGAACGCUGGCGGCGUGCCUAAUACAUGCAAGUAGAACGCACAGUUUAUACCGUAGCUUGCUACACCAUAGACUGUGAGUUGCGAACGGGUGAGUAACGCGUAGGUAACCUGCCUGGUAGCGGGGGAUAACUAUUGGAAACGAUAGCUAAUACCGCAUAAUAUUGAUUAUUGCAUGAUAAUUGAUUGAAAGAUGCUAUUGCAUCACUACCAGAUGGACCUGCGUUGUAUUAGCUAGUAGGUGAGGUAACGGCUCACCUAGGCGACGAUACAUAGCCGACCUGAGAGGGUGAUCGGCCACACUGGGACUGAGACACGGCCCAGACUCCUACGGGAGGCAGCAGUAGGGAAUCUUCGGCAAUGGACGAAAGUCUGACCGAGCAACGCCGCGUGAGUGAAGAAGGGUUUCGGAUCGUAAAGCUCUGUUGUAAGAGAAGAACGGGUGUGAGAGUGGAAAGUUCACACUGUGACGGUAUCUUGCCAGAAAGGGACGGCUAACUACGUG